rnacentral:rRNA from 2 species
UAAAAAACAUGGCCUUUUGAUUAUAAUUUAAGGUCUAGCCUGCCCACUGAGUAUUUAAAUGGCCGCGGUACACUGACCGUGCAAAGGUAGCAUAAUCAUUAGUUUUUUAAUUGAAAGCUGGAAUGAAAGGCUGAACAAGAAAAUAACUGUCUCUAUUUAAUAUCUAGAAUUUUAUUUUUAAGUAAAAAAGCUUAAAUGUUAUUAAAAGACGAGAAGACCCUAUAGAGUUUAAUAUUUUUUAUUGUAUAAAUUUUUAGAAUUAUUACUUUGUAUUUUAAAAUCUAUUUAGUUGGGGAGAUUGAAAAAUUUAAUUAACUUUUUUUUUAUUGCUACAUUGAUUAAUGAGUUAUUGAUCCAAUUUUUUUGAUUAUAAGAUAAAAUUACCUUAGGGAUAACAGCGUAAUCUUUCUUGAGAGUUCUAAUCGAAAGAAGGGUUUGCGACCUCGAUGUUGGAUUAAAAUUAAUUUUUGGUGUAGAAGCUAAGAAUAUUAGGUCUGUCGACCUCAUA